AACCAACGCUGGCGGCAUGCCUAACACAUGCAAGUCGAACGAGACCUUCGGGUCUAGUGGCGCACGGGUGCGUAACGCGUGGGAACCUGCCCUUAGGUUCGGAAUAACUCCCCGAAAGGGGUGCUAAUACCGGAUAAUGUCUUCGGACCAAAGAUUUAUCGCCUUUGGAUGGGCCCGCGUUGGAUUAGCUAGUUGGUAGGGUAAAAGCCUACCAAGGCGACGAUCCAUAGCUGGUCUGAGAGGAUGAUCAGCCACACUGGGACUGAGACGCGGCCCAGACUCCUCCGGGGGGCAGCGGUGGGGAAUAGUGGACAGGGGGCGAAAGCCUGGUCCAGCGAUCCCGCGUGGGGGUUGAGGGCUUAGGGGUUGAAAGGCUCUUUUACCCGGAUGAAUAGGCCGUAACCGGGAAGAAAAGGCCCCGGCUACCCCCG
rnacentral:rRNA from 1 species